rnacentral:rRNA from 1 species
ACGCCCUUCGGGGGAAAGAUUUAUCGGAGAAGGAUCGGCCCGCGUUAGAUUAGGUAGUUGGUGGGGUAAUGGCCUACCAAGCCUACGAUCUAUAGCUGGUUUGAGAGGAUGAUCAGCCACACUGGGACUGAGACACGGCCCAGACUCCUACGGGAGGCAGCAGUGAGGAAUCUUGGACAAUGGGGGCAACCCUGAUCCAGCCAUGCCGCGUGAACGAUGAAGGCCUUAGGGUUGUAAAGUUCUUUCAGCUGGGAAGAUAAUGACGGUACCGGCAGAAGAAGCCCCGGCUAACUCCGUGCCAGC